GACCCUGUAGUGCAAUGGAUAGCACGUUGGACUCCUAAUCCAAAGGUCAUGGGUUCAAGUCCCACCUUGGUUG